rnacentral:rRNA from 1 species
AGAACGAACGCUGGCGGCAUGCCUAAUACAUGCAAGUCGAACGAACUCUUCGGAGUUAGUGGCGCACGGGUGCGUAACGCGUGGGAAUCUGCCCCUUGGUUCGGAAUAACAGUUGGAAACGACUGCUAAUACCGGAUGAUGACGAAAGUCCAAAGAUUUAUCGCCAAGGGAUGAGCCCGCGUAGGAUUAGCUAGUUGGUGAGGUAAAGGCUCACCAAGGCAACGAUCCUUAGCUGGUCUGAGAGGAUGAUCAGCCACACUGGGACUGAGACACGGCCCAGACUCCUACGGGAGCAGCAGUAGGAUAUGGACAAUGGGCGAAAGCCUGAUCCAGCAAUGCCGCGUGAGUGAGUGAAGGCUUAGGGUGUAAAGUCUCUUUACCCGAGUAUGAAUAAUGAACAGUAGUCGGAAGUAAGUAACGGCCCCCGGAUAACCGUCCGU